AAGGGGUUGUUAGCGUGGCAAACGGGUGAGUAACGCGUGGGCGACCUACCUCAGAGUGGGGGAUAACCUUCCGAAAGGGAGGCUAAUACCGCAUGACAUGCCUUGUUUAGAUACAGGGACAUCAAAGCCGGGGAUCGUAAGACCUGGCGCUUGGAGAGGGGCCCGCGUCCGAUCAGCUAGUUGGUGGGGUAACGGCCUACCAAGGCGAAGACGCGUAGCUGGUCUGAGAGGAUGAUCAGCCACACUGGGACUGAGACACGGCCCAGACUCCUACGGGAGGCAGCAGUGGGGAAUAUUGGACAAUGGGCGCAAGCCUGAUCCAGCCACGCCGCGUGAGUGAUGAAGGCCUUCGGG
rnacentral:rRNA from 1 species